CACGUAGGGGCGAGCGUUGUCCGUAAUUACUGGGCGUAAAGGGCGCGCAGGCUGUUAUGCGAGUCUGCUGUGAAAUGUACCGGCUCAACCGGUGCCUUGCGGCGGAUACUGCAUAGCUGGAGUACUGGAGAGGGAAGUGGAAUUCCCGGUGUAGCGGUGAAAUGCGCAGAUAUCAGGAGGAACACCAAUGGCGAAGGCAGGUCUCUGGGCAGUUACUGACGCUGAGGAGCGAAAGCAUGGGUAGCGAACA
rnacentral:rRNA from 1 species